rnacentral:rRNA from 1 species
AGGUCGACGAGAAUCUACUGAAAGAGUUUUCGGACAUGGAUGUAGAGGAAAGUGGCGGACGGGUGAGUAACGCGUGAGGAACCUGCCUUGAAGAGGGGGACAACAGUUGGAAACGACUGCUAAUACCGCAUGAUGCAUAGGGGUCGCAUGAUUCUUAUGCCAAAGAUUUAUCGCUUCAAGAUGGCCUCGCGUCUGAUUAGCUGGUUGGCGGGGUAACGGCCCACCAAGGCGACGAUCAGUAGCCGGACUGAGAGGUUGAACGGCCACAUUGGGACUGAGAUACGGCCCAGACUCCUACGGGAGGCAGCAGUGGGGAAUAUUGGGCAAUGGGCGCAAGCCUGACCCAGCAACGCCGCGUGAAGGAAGAAGGCUUUCGGGUUGUAAACUUCUUUUAAGAGGGAAGAGCAGAAGACGGUACCUCUAGAAUAAGCCACGGCUAACUACGUGCCAGCAGCCGCGGUAAUACGUAGGUGGCAAGCGUUGUCCGGAUUUACUGGGUGUAAAGGGCGUGCAGCCGGGUCUGCAAGUCAGAUGUGAAAUCCAUGGGCUCAACCCAUGAACUGCAUUUGAAACUGUAGAUCUUGAGUGUCGGAGGGGCAAUCGGAAUUCCUAGUGUAGCGGUGAAAUGCGUAGAUAUUAGGAGGAACACCAGUGGCGAAGGCGGAUUGCUGGACGAUAACUGACGGUGAGGCGCGAAAGUGUGGGGAGCAAACAGGAUUAGAUACCCUGGUAGUCCACACUGUAAACGAUGAAUACUAGGUGUGCGGGGACUGACCCCCUGCGUGCCGC